rnacentral:rRNA from 1 species
GGAUCAUUACCGAGUUAUACAACUCCCAACCCGUGUGAACUAUACCUAUCGUUGCUUCGGCGGCCUCGCCCAGGGAGCCCACGGGCGGCCCUGACCACGGCGACCGCCGGAGGACCCAAACUCUGUCUUUCAGUGUAUUCUGAGUGGAAUCAUACAAAUGAAUCAAAACUUUCAACAACGGAUCUCUUGGUUCUGGCAUCGAUGAAGAACGCAGCGAAAUGCGAUAAGUAAUGUGAAUUGCAGAAUUCAGUGAAUCAUCGAAUCUUUGAACGCACAUUGCGCCCGCCAGCAUUCUGGCGGGCAUGCCUGUCCGAGCGUCAUUUCAACCCUCGACCGGCCCUUCGGGGGCGGUCGGUGUUGGAGCUCGGCGCCGCCCCGGCGGUCGCCGUCUCCCAAACUCAGUGGCGGUCACGCCGCAGCCUCCCCUGCGCAGUAGCACACCUCGCUGGCGGAGAGCGGCGCGGCCAUGCCGUGAAACCCCCGACCUUCUAAGGUUGACCUCGGAUCAGGUAGGAAUACCCGCUGAACUUAAGCAUAUCAAUAAGCGGAGGAAAAGAAACCAACAGGGAUUGCCCCAGUAACGGCGAGUGAAGCGGCAACAGCUCAAAUUUGAAAUCUGGCGCAAGCCCGAGUUGUAAUUUGCAGAGGAAGCUUCUGGCGCGGCGCCUUCCGAGUUCCCUGGAACGGGACGCCAUAGAGGGUGAGAGCCCCGUACGGUCGCGCGCUAAGCCUAUGUGAAGCUCCUUCGACGAGUCGAGUAGUUUGGGAAUGCUGCUCUAAAUGGGAGGUGUACGUCUUCUAAAGCUAAAUACCGGCCAGAGACCGAUAGCGCACAAGUAGAGUGAUCGAAAGAUGAAAAGCACUUUGAAAAGAGGGUUAAACAGUACGUGAAAUUGUUGAAAGGGAAGCGGUCACGACCAGACUUGGGCCUGCUAAUCAUCCGGCGUUCUCGCCGGUGCACUUGGCAGGUUCAGGCCAGCAUCAGUUUGUCCCGGGGGAUAAAGGCGCCGGGAAUGUGGCUCCCACGGGAGUGUUAUAGCCCGGCGUGUAAUACCCUGAGA